GAUAAACGCUGGCGGCGUGCCUAAUGCAUGCAAGUCGAACGGUCUAGCAUCUUCGGAAGCUAGGUAGUGGCAAACGGGUGAGUAACACGUGGGAUCUGCCCAGUAGUGGGAACGAACUCCUCGAAGAGGAGCUAAUACCGCAUACGGUCGAAGGACUAAAGCCAUCGCAAGAUGGCGCUAUUGGAGGAACCUGCGGCUGAUUAGCUAGUU
rnacentral:rRNA from 1 species